UGAUUGUCCGAAUGCAAUUCUUG
rnacentral:miRNA from 1 species